ACAUGGGUUGCUUCCUCCACUCCACAUCACAAAGCUUAAGUCUCCCUUUUAUCUUUCUGUUGCUGUUUUCACAGGUGCAGCUUACCUUUACCCAUUUGCAGCAAAUACAUAUAGGAGAGGAGGAGAUUAAAAUUUAGCCAAAGUUAAUGCAGAAACUUUUUGAACAAAAAGAUUUCUUCUUUCGUACCAAUUCAGAAAGAGGGGGCCCAACUUACCAUGGUGGUUACACGUGGGAGUGAGUCAGCAAAGGGACACCAACAGAAGCCCUAAGUUGAGAAGUUUGGUGAAUGAUCACAACCACUCAAUUUGAAGGACCAACCAAAUUUCACCAACCAACAACGUAUCUUGUGCGGCCUCAUGCUUAACUAAGGUUUAGCCAAAAAGAUUAUAAUCAAGCCAGGGUGCGCUCCAUGCAAUGCAUUGCAUUGGUUGGGAUGGGCGGUUAGAAGAAUCUUGAUGAUUACUUAGCCUGGUUAGUAAAGUAAUCAUAAUCAACCACCCAAUUAUUUUUGGAUUUGUUUGUUGCUAGUACUAAAUACACAUGAUCUUCUGAAUCAUUUGAUGAUCCCGCAAACAUAUAAAUAUUACAGCAUUAUUCAAUAUUCAAUA